rnacentral:misc_RNA from 1 species
AAGUCGUAACAAGGUUUCCGUAGGUGAACCUGCGGAAGGAUCAUUACAAGAAUCGAGACUGGCGGCGCCUAUUCAAUAGGUCACGUCUAGUCCCGCUCUUCACCUUGCCUACUGCACCGUUUGUUGCUUCCUGGCGGCGGCGCCCCCGCCGCCAGGUCCUUUCAAAAGCCAAGUAUAAGCAUUGGAAACUUCUGACAAACACUAAAUCGUACAACUUUCAACAAUGGAUCUCUUGGUUCUG